GUGCCAGCAGCCGCGGUAAUACGUAGGGGGCGAGCGUUGUCCGAAUUUACUGGGCGUAAAGCGCGUGUAGGCGGCUCUUUAAGUGGGAUGUGAAAUCCCGUGGCUCAACCACGGAACUGCAUUUCAAACUGGAGGGCUUGAAUUUGGGAGAGGAAAGUGGAAUUCCUGGUGUAGCGGUGAAAUGCGUAGAUAUCAGGAGGAACACCCGUGGCGAAGGCGGCUUUCUGGCCCAACAUUGACGCUGAGACGCGAAAGCUAGGGGAGCGAACGGGAUUAGAUACCCCGGUAGUCC
rnacentral:rRNA from 1 species